UACGAAGGGGGCUAGCGUUGCUCGGAAUCACUGGGCGUAAAGCGCACGUAGGCGGGUCCUUAAGUCGGGGGUGAAAUCCCGGAGCUCAACUCCGGAACUGCCUUCGAUACUGGGGACCUCGAGUCCGGGAGAGGUGAGUGGAACUGCGAGUGUAGAGGUGAAAUUCGUAGAUAUUCGCAAGGACACCAGUGGCGAAGGCGGCUCACUGGCCCGGUACUGACGCUGAGGUGCGAAAGCGUGGGGAGCAAACAGG
rnacentral:rRNA from 1 species